rnacentral:rRNA from 1 species
GACGAACGCUGGCGGCGUGCCUAAUACAUGCAAGUAGAACGCUGAAGAGAGGAGCUUGCUCUUCUUGGAUGAGUGGCUAACGGGUGAGUAACGCGUAGGUAACCUGCCUUGUAGCGGGGGAUAACUAUGGGAAACGAUAGCUAAUACCGCAUAACAAUGGAUGACACAUGACACAUAUUUGAAAGGGGCAAUUGCUCCACUACAAGACGGACCUGCGUUGUAUUAGCUAGUAGGGGAGGGAACGGCUCAGCUAGGCGACGAUACAUAGCCUGCGUGGGGAGGUUGUUGACCCCCAUUGGACCUGGACCCCGGCCAAGCCCCUACGGGGGGCCGCAGUAGGGGAUCUUUGGCCAUUGGGGCAACCCUGAACGCACCACGACGCGUGAGUGGAGGAGGGUUUCGGAUCGUAAAACUCUGUUGGUAGUGAAGAACGAGUAUGAGGGUAGAAAGCUCACGCUGUGACGGUAGCUUACCAGAAAGGGACGGCUAACUACGUG